CUGGAGUAGGUCCCAAGGGUUGGGCUGUUCGCCCAUUAAAGAGGUACGCGAGCUGGGUUCAGAACGUCGUGAGACAGUUCGGUCCCUAUCCGCUGUGGGCGUUGGAAAUUUGAGUGGAGCUGUCCUUAGUACGAGAGGACCGGGAUGGACAUACCUCUGGUGCACCAGUUGUUCUGCCAAGGGCAUAGCUGGGUAGCUAAGUAUGGACGGGAUAAGCGCUGAAAGCAUCUAAGUGCGAAGCCCCCCACAAGAAGAGAUUUCCUCCGCAAGGUAAGACUCGUGGGAGACUACCACGUAGAUAGGUCGGAGGUGAAAGUAUGGUAACAUAUUAAGCUGACCGAUACUAAUAGGUCGAAAACUUGACCAG
rnacentral:rRNA from 1 species